GGCGAAUGGCGGGAGAGCAUGGCCAGAGCUUUAGCACAGGGCGCGGCCAUUGGUGACGCAUGCCAGGGAGCUGGCGCCCGCGAUUCCACCAUUAGCGAGGCCUCACACCCAGCAUUUCAAGUUCGGGGCUGGAGGCGUCCCUGCUUCCUCCUCUAAGAGGCGGGUCCGCCCCGCCCCUGCGCCCCGGGUCGCUUGCUCGCGGCCCCGCCCACCUCCUGCUCCUGGCCUCCCCCGGCGCAGCGCACUCCCCGCCUGCCCGCAGCCUGACACGCCGCGCGGUCCCUCAGUCUCCCGCGAUCGCCUCCCCAGGCAUGGCACAGGGCCUCGCCACACUAUGGCAGCAGCAAGGCACAGCACGCUCGACUUCACGCUCGGCGCCAAAGAGGAAAGGCACUUUUUCAAGUGACUGAAGCCUAGUGUGAGCCAUUAGGAGAGGAGUUUCCAGUCGAAUAACUGCUGAUGGUGAGGCCAUUCUGAAAGGCCUUCAGUCCAUCUUUCAGGAGCAGGGGAUGGCAGAGUCGGUGCACACCUGGCAGGACCAUGGGUAUUUAGCAACCUACACGAACAAGAAUGGCAGCUUUGCCAAUUUGAGAAUUUAUCCACAUGGAUUGGUGUUGCUGGACCUUCAGAGUUACGACAGUGAUGUGCAAGGCAAACAAGAAACUGACUGCCUUUUGAAUAAAAUAGAAGAAAAAAUGAAAGAAUUGAGUCAAGACAGUACUGGUCGGGUGAAGCGAUUACCACCCAUAGUUCGAGGAGGGGCCAUUGACAGAUACUGGCCUACUGCUGACGGGCGCCUGGUUGAGUAUGACAUAGAUGAAGUGGUGUAUGACGAAGACUCACCUUAUCAGAACAUUAAAAUUCUUCACUCAAAGCAGUUUGGGAAUAUUCUCAUCCUCAGCGGGGAUGUUAAUUUGGCAGAGAGUGACUUGGCAUAUACCAGGGCCAUCAUGGGCAAUGGUAAAGAAGACUACACUGGCAAAGAUGUACUGAUUCUGGGAGGCGGCGAUGGAGGCAUAUUAUGUGAAAUUGUCAAACUGAAACCAAAGAUGGUCACUAUGGUAGAGAUAUCCUUUACUGUACAAGAGAACAACUGCAGUGACUAGAGACAGGGCGCAGAGCACUUCUGCUUCAACAGAGGACCUGGUUUGCUUUCAAGUAUUUACUUGGUGACCAACAACUGUCUGUAACUCCAGUUCAGUGUAUCUGAUGAUGCCUUUUAGCUUUCUCUUGAGCAGCAGGCAUGCCAUGUAGUGCACGUUCAUAAUAGCACGAACACAUUCAUACAUAUAAUUUCUUUUAAAAAAUGAGAAAGCACAUGAUAGAUAGAUGGAUGGAUAGAUGAUAGAUGAUAGAAAAAGAAAGAAAGAAAGAAAGAAAGAAAGAAAGAAAGGCAAGUGCAUUUCUUUGGUCUUUCCUUUAGCAUUUCCAGACUCCUGUGAGUAUUUCUGCAGACUCAAGGCAGACAUGUUAUAAACAUUUAAAUUUACAGCUAGUAGCUUGUGUGUGUCUGCUAAUAGAGAAGAAGAGAUAAUUGUGGAUUAGAGAGCAUCCAUACUGGGUGCCCCAUCUGCUGCUCAGUGGUUGUCAAACUGGGGAAAAAUCUCCUUUAAUUUGAAUGUCCUUAGUGAAAAAGUAGUCACCAUAACAUCCAUGUUUUAACUUGAUGAUCUUCAGAUGGCUACAGUAAAACCUUUGUGUGAACCUCUGUGUUUUAGAGAAGACUUACUCUUUCAGAGUCCUUUGGUACAUUCAAAUUCUCCUUAACCUGUUUCGGACAUUGACCAGAUGGUAAUUGAUGGAUGUAAGAAAUACAUGCGCAGAACAUGUGGAGAUGUCUUAGACAAUCUUAAAGGAGAUUGCUAUCAGGUUCUUAUAGAAGACUGUAUUCCAGUACUGAAGAGGUACGCCAAAGAAGGGAGAGAGUUUGAUUAUGUGAUUAAUGAUUUGACAGCUGUCCCUAUCUCUACAUCUCCAGAAGAAGAUUCCACAUGGGAGUUUCUCAGACUGAUUCUUGACCUGUCAAUGAAGGUUCUGAAACAGGAUGGAAAAUAUUUCACACAGGGGAACUGUGUCAACUUGACUGAAGCCCUGUCGCUCUAUGAAGAACAGCUGGGGCGCCUGUAUUGUCCUGUGGAAUUCUCAAAAGAGAUUGUCUGUGUCCCUUCAUACUUGGAAUUGUGGGUAUUUUACACUGUUUGGAAGAAAGCUAAGCCUUAAAGAUGAGCAUCCCCUGAAUGAUGUGUUCUGCAAGCCACCUUCCUGACCUCCAUAUGCUGUAUAUGCCAUCACAUGAGUCAGGCAACUGUUCAUGAAUUCCUUCAAGUGGUUUUCUUUUUAAUUAUUUUUAAUUUAAAAAAGCCAAUGGGAAAAAUGUAUAUUUUGAUGAGUUAGGGUGUUAAUUUUUGAAAGUCAGCCGGAGGACAAUUAGACAGCCCUGCAAAGACUACGGAAUGCACUGACCCCCUAGAAUGUGAUUUUAGUAUCUUUAUUUUUUCUCUGUGUGGGGUUUGGGUUUUUGUUUUGGUUUUAGUAGACCUUUAAUUUGGACACGUGGAGGAAUGAACAUCAUUGUUUUGUUCUGGAGAGAAGUUCCUGAUAGUGUUUCUCCCCUCUCACCCCCAAAUUGACUUAGAUAUUAAAAUUUGGUGCUUUUAAAGGUUUAAGAAGAGUGAUUGGCAGUGCUUCAAUUAAAGUGACAAAGGAGACCUCUCAUGUGUUUUGUCCCUUUAUUUCAGCCCCUGUUCCUCUUUCUUAACUGCUGAUGGCCUAGGGUGAAGGUGUAUUCUAGACUGUUCUGUAAUAGUAGUUGGCCUAAUGUAUUUGUAAAAGGCCUCCAAGCCUUUGAGGAUUGUAGGAAUGACUCCAUUUAUCACACUGGUGAAUUACCCACAACCUAUUUUAUUUGCCACCUGUGCACUAUAAAGGUGUGCCGAGGAUAGCAAAGGUUUUGCCUGACUGAAAAGGGUGAAAGUCAAAGACGAUUUCUGUUAGCGCACUCACUGAAUUAGAUGGAAAUACAAAGGCCUUUGAGAAGACUGUAGGAUGUGCAAGUGCACACUAGACUUCAGGUGGUCCUGUGGCAAAACAGCUCUUCAGAAAGCACAUGUGCAUAUCAACUUGGCAUUGUAUUGUGGAUCAUCAAAUUGUCUAUCCUACUGUUUGUGUGAAAUAUUUAUACUAUAUCAGUAUACUGGUAUUCUUUAUACAGUAAGUAAAACAUUGAAAUUUUUCUAAUGGAAUCAGGCUCAAUACCGAAAAAGUUUCACUGACACUGACAAAUGGUCUUUAAAAGUGAGUGCAGACCUUUGCCAUUUAUAUUAGAUUGCCAUGGAGGAAGAAACACUAGAGAAUAAAAGGAGCUGAUAGUCAUUCACCUUAGAUAUCCUUAUCAAGAUUUUUUGUGCAUGGAUAGGUUAAAAACAACAGCCAAGUAGAUACAUCCCCGUCCAAAUUCCUGGCCAAUUGUGGAGAACUGAGAGCAAAUGUACUGCUACAGGUAGAAUAUUAGUUAAAGCCAAGUGCCCCUCACCCACUGUACCAUUAUUCUUCCUAGAACUUUUGAGACAAAGUUGCAGUAUGUAUGUAGCCCAGUCUAACCUGGAGCUCUUCAUGGAGCCCAGGCUUGCCUGGAAACUUGCAAGAACUGAGCUUGUACCAUCACACAGCUUAAUUCUUGUUUUCCACUUUAGUAAAGAGAAGAAGUAUAUUCGUCCGCUGUUGGGAUAAUAUUAAUGCGAGGCCUGACCUGCUUGAUGCUUGAAGAGUAACUUGAGGCCAUAACCACAGAUCCACUCAUAAUUCUGGUGACUCAGGUCCUGCUAAGCACCAGGUGGUAGAAAUGAAGAGGAUAAGGUUAUGCAAGGCUACUUGGGAGAUACACUUGGGAAAAUGAAGGAAGUGGUGUUAAGGAGAGGAGGAAGAAAGGAUUUUUUUUUUAUCUUGAGUGAUAAUAGUGAAUUCAGAUGUGACUAAUUUCUUUGUAUUUGCUGAAGGAGGAUCUCAGUUUUGAGCCCUUGUUAUUUUAACACAGAAGCAUGCAAACUGAACCAACACCCUCCCGGCCCUGUGCUGUACUAAAACCCACCUUCGCUUUGGCUGCCUCUUAAAAAAUGCUAAUCGAUCCAGCAAUGUUAUUUUUCUUAAUAACUGUAGUGUUAUGUAGUGUGAAAGUUUCCUUUAACAGUGGAAUAUAUUAUGGUGUCCUGCUUUUUUUUAAAUGAAAGACAAAACAAAUAUGGAUAGAGUUUAAAUUCUGUUCAACACAGCAGAUACUAAGAAUUGAUUUAUUAAGACAUGAAAAGCUGCUUUCUCUUGGAAAUGUGAUUGAAUAUUUAUAAAACAGAUCCAACUGGGCCAGUGGAAGGCUGGGUUGGUGGUGUUUUUAAUGGGCUAGAGCAUUACUAUCUAAAUAAAGAAGAAAUGUGCUGUUCCUUCCUGUAGACUUUGAAUAGUCAUGUCCUUGCUUUCCCUAACUAACUAUUGCUGACACAAGAGUUUGUAUUUCUGACUGUCAUCUAUCAAUAAAUUAAUCAAUUUCA